AUCGAACAUCAAGAGUUGGGGCGACGCCCAACGCCAACCUGCCAAUCCGGGCAAGGUGGCACUCCGCAAGGAGGAUGUGGCCGAGCCGGCAACUGAAACGGAUCAA
rnacentral:ncRNA from 1 species